rnacentral:rRNA from 1 species
CAGCCGCCGCGGGAAUACGUAGGUCCCGAGCGUUGUCCGGAUUUAUUGGGCGUAAAGCGAGCGCAGGCGGUUAGAUAAGUCUGAAGUUAAAGGCUGUGGCUUAACCAUAGUACGCUUUGGAAACUGUUUAACUUGAGUGCAAGAGGGGAGAGUGGAAUUCCAUGUGUAGCGGUGAAAUGCGUAGAUAUAUGGAGGAACACCGGUGGCGAAAGCGGCUCUCUGGCCUGUAACUGACACUGAGGCGCGAAAGCGUGGGGAGCAAACAGGAUUAGAUACCCGCGUAGUCCCUGUCUCUUAUACA